rnacentral:lncRNA from 1 species
GAAUCAACGCAAAUCAAUGCAAAAAUAACCUAACAAUACCCCCACACCUAUGACAAACAUUGUCCUCAAUGUGUAAGCAUAUAUAUAAAAAAUUAAGAAGAAAAGGGAAAAAGACUUCCUGGCCUGUGGGUGAUUUGGCCAGUGAUUUGGGCAAAUCACUGGUCAAAUCACUGUCUGUCACGGUGCUGGGCAGAAAAUGGUCUACCAAUAGGUCCAGCAGGUGCUCCAUGUGCUGCAUCCUGUCUCUGAUUCUGGUGAGAUGAGCCUCCACCGAAUGGUCUUGAGGUGCCUUUUAUGUCCUCCAAG